AACCUGCCCAAGAGAUCGGGAUAACACCUGGAAACAGAUGCUAAUACCGGAUAACAAUAGAUGAUGCCUAUCAACUGUUUAAAAGAUGGUUCUGCUAUCACUCUUGGAUGGACCUGCGGUGCAUUAGCUAGUUGGUAGGGUAACGGCCUACCAAGGCGAUGAUGCAUAGCCGAGUUGAGAGACUGAUCGGCCACAUUGGGACUGAGACACGGCCCAACUCCUACGGGAGGCAGCAGUC
rnacentral:rRNA from 1 species